UCAAACCUGGAGCGGGCGGCACAGAGUAGCCUACUCUGGGGCUCGGGAGAAAGAGGAGACGUGAUAUAUGGACACAUUUUCACUUCAUUGAAGUGGAGAACAAAACCAAAUGCUUGAUUUUAGUCGAAGGGAAGGAAUGUGGCCACAUGCUAGCUGGAAAAAACACAACCUGAAGAGACACGUCGCAGUUCAACACCAAGACAUUACGAUUGAAGAUACACCGACCACCAACAACCACCCAGAAACAAUGACAGGCCAGCUAUACAAGCUUCCUUAAUUGCC